AUAGCACUGAUAAUUAUACAAUAUCAGUGUUGAUUUUGAACUUCUAAUGGAUUAAAAGGUACAUGAUUUCUUUUCCUUAGCAAGAUACAUCAGAGAUAUUUGAUCCCAUUGUAUCUAAAAGUUUUGUAAUAAUUUGAAUUGCAUAUUUGUCAUCUAUUAUUGCUUUUGUAAAGUCAACAAGUCUUUCACAAACCCAUCUACUCAUUUCUUCCUACUAAUGUUUUGCCCGUUUACAUUAUGAAAUGUAUGGAAUGAACUAUAUAAAGCUGUCACCAUCAAUGUUUUUAUCUGGUAAUAUUAAAUAUUUUUUAACAAAACAGA